UACAGAGGUCUCAAGCGUUGUUCGGAUUCAUUGGGCGUAAAGGGUGCGUAGGUGGCGUCGUAAGUCGGGUGUGAAAUUUCGGAGCUUAACUCCGAAACUGCAUUCGAUACUGCGGUGCUUGAGGACUGGAGAGGAGACUGGAAUUUACGGUGUAGCAGUGAAAUGCGUAGAGAUCGUAAGGAAGACCAGUGGCGAAGGCGGGUCUCUGGACAGUUCCUGACACUGAGGCACGAAGGCCAGGGGGAGCAAAACGGG
rnacentral:rRNA from 1 species